rnacentral:rRNA from 1 species
GACGAACGCUGGCGGCGUGCCUAAUACAUGCAAGUAGGACGCAGUUGCGAACGGGUGAGUAACGCGUCGGUCACUGCCUAUUAGAGGGGGAUAACUAUUGGAAACGAUAGCUAAUACCGCCUACUAGUCGAUGGACCUGCGUUGUAUUAGCUAGUAGGUGGGGUACUGGCCUACCUAGGCAACGAUACAUAGCCGGCGUGGGAGGGUGGAGGGGCACACUGGGAACGAGACAAGGCCCAGACGCCUACGGGGGGCAGGAGGAGGGAAUCUGGGGGAAUGGGGGGAACCAUGACCGGGCAAAGGCGCGUGAGUGAAGAAGGGUUUCGGAUCGUAAAGCUCUGUUGUUAAGGAAGCGGUACUUAACCAGAAAGGGACGGCUAACUACGUGCCAGCCGCCGCGGUAAUUC